GCAAGUCUAGCUUCUCCUUGCGAGAAGCGGCGGACGGCUGAGUAACACGUUGGAACCUACCCCGAAUUCAGGGAUAACCUGCCGAAAGGCAGACUAAUACCGGAUGUCCCAGCAAUGGGAAAGCUACGGCGAUUCGGGAGGGGCCUGCGGCCUAUCAGUUUGUUGGUGAGGUAAUGGCUCACCAAGACUAUGACGGGUACCUGGCGUGAGAGCGCGAAC
rnacentral:rRNA from 1 species